ACGGAAGGCAGCAGUCGGGAAUAUUGCGCAAUGGAGGAAACUCUGACGCAGUGACGCCGCGUAUAGGAAGAAGGUUUUCGGAUUGUAAACUAUUGUCGUUAGGGAAGAAAAAAAUGACAGUACCUAAGGAGGAAGCUCCGGCUAACUACGUGCCAGCAGCCGCGGUAAUACGUAGGGAGCAAGCGUUAUCCGGAUUUAUUGGGUGUAAAGGGUGCGUAGACGGAAAAGCAAGUUAGUUGUGAAAUCCCUCGGCUUAACUGAGGAACUGCAACUAAAACUACUUUCCUUGAGUGCAGGAGGGGAAAGCGGAAUUCCUAGUGUAGCGGUGAAAUGCGUAGAUAUUAGGAGGAACACCGGUGGCGAAGGCGGCUUUCUGGACUGUAACUGACGUUGAGGCACGAAAGUGUGGGGAGCAAACAGGAUUAGAUACCCUGGUA
rnacentral:rRNA from 1 species